rnacentral:rRNA from 1 species
UACGUAGGGUGCGAGCGUUAAUCGGAAUUACUGGGCGUAAAGCGUGCGUAGGCGGCGCGGUAAGUCGGGUGUGAAAUCUUGGAGCUUAACUCCGAAACUGCAUUCGAUACUGCCGUGCUUGAGGACUGGAGAGGAGACUGGAAUUUACGGUGUAGCGGUGAAAUGCGUAGAUAUCGUAAGGAAGACCAGUGGCGAAGGCGGGUCUCUGGACAGUUCCUGACGCUGAGGCACGAAGGCCAGGGGGAGCAAACGGGG